UCAUGAUGAACGCUAGCUACAGGCUUAACACAUGCAAGUCGAGGGGCAGCAUGGUCUUAGCUUGCUAAGGCCGAUGGCGACCGGCGCACGGGUGAGUAACACGUAUCCAACCUGCCGUCUACUCUUGGACAGCCUUCUGAAAGGAAGAUUAAUACAAGAUGGCAUCAUGAGUCCGCAUGUUCACAUGAUUAAAGGUAUUCCGGUAGACGAUGGGGAUGCGUUCCAUUAGAUAGUAGGCGGGGUAACGGCCCACCUAGUCUUCGAUGGAUGGGGGUUCUGAGAGGAAGGUCCCCCACAUUGGAACUGAGACACGGUCCAAACUCCUACGGGAGGCAGCAGUGAGGAAUAUUGGUCAAUGGGCGAGAGCCUGAACCAGCCAAGUAGCGUGAAGGAUGACUGCCCUAUGGGUUGUAAACUUCUUUUAUAAAGGAAUAAAGUCGGGUAUGGAUACCCGUUUGCAUGUACUUUAUGAAUAAGGAUCGGCUAACUCCGUGCCAGCAGCCGCGGUAAUACGGAGGAUCCGAGCGUUAUCCGGAUUUAUUGGGUUUAAAGGGAGCGUAGAUGGAUAUUUAAGUCAGUUGUGAAAGUUUGCGGCUCAACCGUAAAAUUGCAGUUGAUACUGGAUAUCUUGAGUGCAGUUGAGGCAGGCGGAAUUCGUGGUGUAGCGGUGAAAUGCUUAGAUAUCACGAAGAACUCCGAUUGCGAAGGCAGCCUGCUAAGCUGCAACUGACAUUGAGGCUCGAAAGUGUGGGUAUCAAACAGGAUUAGAUACCCUGGUAGUCCACACGGUAAACGAUGAAUACUCGCUGUUUGCGAUAUACUGCAAGCGGCCAAGCGAAAGCGUUAAGUAUUCCACCUGGGGAGUACGCCGGCAACGGUGAAACUCAAAGGAAUUGACGGGGGCCCGCACAAGCGGAGGAACAUGUGGUUUAAUUCGAUGAUACGCGAGGAACCUUACCCGGGCUUAAAUUGCAGAUGAAUUACGGUGAAAGCCGUAAGCCGCAAGGCAUCUGUGAAGGUGCUGCAUGGUUGUCGUCAGCUCGUGCCGUGAGGUGUCGGCUUAAGUGCCAUAACGAGCGCAACCCUUGUUGUCAGUUACUAACAGGUUCCGCUGAGGACUCUGACAAGACUGCCAUCGUAAGAUGUGAGGAAGGUGGGGAUGACGUCAAAUCAGCACGGCCCUUACGUCCGGGGCUACACACGUGUUACAAUGGGGGGUACAGAGGGCCGCUACCACGCGAGUGGAUGCCAAUCCCCAAAACCUCUCUCAGUUCGGACUGGAGUCUGCAACCCGACUCCACGAAGCUGGAUUCGCUAGUAAUCGCGCAUCAGCCACGGCGCGGUGAAUACGUUCCCGGGCCUUGUACACACCGCCCGUCAAGCCAUGGGAGCCGGGGGUACCUGAAGUGCGUAACCGCGAGGAGCGCCCUAGGGUAAAA
rnacentral:rRNA from 1 species